AUGGCUUUCAAAAGUUCAAACCCUGCAGGGGUGUCCCAACUUAGCCCAUCACAAGCUCUCACGAUCAACGAAGGAUAUUCCUUCUCCCAGGAAGAUCCGAUCAGACUCGGAAUACCGGUUACAAGACAUUUCGACAAGGUCUUGACGAAUCCAAGGGUACCUGGCAGUUCAAAAUUGCUCCUGUCCGGGGACGUUCAGUGGAGGCAGGGUCGCAGGUGGUCGGGGCUCGGGCUCCUGGCGUCGGAGAUGAGCAGGAGGAGGAGCGGCGACGAGGCAGAGUGCGGAUGCUUGCUGGCAGCAAGAAGGUCCUGCGACGGUGGAGGCGUGCAGACGGGAACAGAGGACGGGCAUAGGCGGACGAGUUCCUGCUGGUCGUGGCGGCGGCGAGGACAACCUGCUGGUGCUGCUCACCGGUGA
rnacentral:rRNA from 1 species